rnacentral:lncRNA from 10 species
CUGCCACUAAGACUUCAUGUUUGGAAUUAUUUAUGUAAUGUUAAGAGCCUGAGUCAUACCAUGGAAUUUUCCUAUUUUCAAUAUUCUCUUCUAAUGAAUAAUUAAAGAUGUUAACUUAACAUUUUUGAGCACCCACCUCCAAUAGAUAACUUGAAUGAGUCUACUUCUCCAAUUAUGUUGCCACCACUCUCAUCCAGCCCCCAUCAACUCUCCCCUUGACCACUGCAAUAGCUUCCUAAAAGCUUCAACUCCAAGUCCACCCUUUUUUAUUUAUUUAUUUUUAUUUUUUGAGGCAGGGUCCAGGCUGGAGCGCAGUGGUGUAAUCACCACUCACUGCAGCCUCAAUCUCCUGGGCUUAAGCGAUUCUCCCACUUCGGCCUCCUGAGUAGCUGGGACUAUAAGCAUGCACCUUCAUGCCCAGCUAAUUUGUUAUAUUUUUUGUAGAGACAGGGUUUCACUAUGUUGCCCAGGCUGGUCUUGAAUUCAUAGUCUCAAGCAAUCCUCCUACUUUGACCUCUCAAAGUGCUAGGAUUACAGACAUGAGCCACCACACCUGGCCACCAAGUCCACCCUUGAUCCCAGUGCCAGUUAUCCACUUAUUUGCUCUUAUCCUCAAGCCCACCUUUCUUUGCCCUACUGUAUAAUACUUGAACUGACUCUAUAAACCACAUUUCUACUUUGCCAGUCAAUACAAUGCUGGGUGCUGCCAGUAGAGGGUGCAGGAUGAAGUCUACAAGCCUGGAAGAGGGAGAAAAGAAUCUUUUUUUCUAUUUUUUUUUUUUUUUUUUUUUUAGUGGCAGGAAGGGGCACAGUGUGCAGCUAUUUCCUGUGGUGUUCUUCAAAGCAGCUGAGGUCCUUAUGGUUCCAGCAAGCAGCCCCCUGCAAGUUUCUUCUUCCCCGCAGUGGUGAAUAGCGUGUUCCUGCAGGAGUCACGCCUUCCCAUCAGAGCAUUGAUCACAGACCUUACAGGACCUCCUCCAGAUUUCCAAGUUCCUUCCUUGUUCUUCUCUCAGCCCUACAGGUGUUCUCUGCAGUUGUUCCCUCUUCUACACCUUUUAAAAGUUAUCUACCUUGUGCAUAGUUAACAACUCCUUCUAUCAAAUGUUCUCUAUUGAAGUCACUCCACUGGUUUCUGCCUCUCCACUAGAUCUUGACUAGGCUCCCUAUUUUAUUCUCCCCAAAAUACACUCUUUAUUUUAUUCUCCAGAGAGUAGCCAGAGUGACUUAUUUUUUCAUUUGGGUCCCACUGAUUAAGAGAAUGAAAAAUAGGCUCUAAGAUGCAUGAAUCUCCAUUCCCUGCUGAUACAUUUCUGUGGUUUCCCAAUGCACUUGGAAUAAAAGCUAAACUCUAUCUUAGCCUCAAGACCUCUAUCCAACUUCCCAAAUUUAUCUGACUUUCUUGUCCUAUCUCACAGUACUCCGACACUGUGCUAGAUGUGAUGGUUUCCUGCUGGGAUGGUUGGUUUAAUGUGUCAACUUGGCUAGGUCAUAGUACCCAGUUAUUUAAUCAAACACUAACAUGGAUCUAGCUGUGAAAGUAUUGUGUAGAUGUGGUUAGCAUCUACAAUCAGUUGACUUUAGGUAGAAGGAGAUUACCCUCAAUUAUGUGUGUGGGCCUUAGCCAAUCAGUUCGAAAGCCUUAAACGCAACAAAACUGAGGUUUCCUGGGCGAGGAAAUUCUGCCUUAAGACUACAGCAAUAGCCGGGAACAGUGG